rnacentral:rRNA from 1 species
GUAGUCUGCAACCCGACUACAUGAAGCCGGAAUCGCUAGUAAUCGCGGAUCAGAAUGCCGCGGUGAAUACGUUCCCGGGUCUUGUACACACCGCCCGUCACACCAUGGGAGUUGGAAAUGCCCGAAGUCAGUGGCCCAACCGGAAGGGGGGAGCUGCCGAAGGCAGGGUUCGAUGACUGGGGGUGAAGUCGUAACAAGGUAAC